ensembl:lncRNA
AAAUUGCCGUCCAGAAAACAGCAAAUAGAUAAAAGGAGGAGAGUCAUAGAGAGGCUGUGUUUGACGUACAAGUGUCUUUGUGACGACAGACUAACAGAUUGACCAUGUCGCUCUCCGCGGUGCUGCUGCUGCUGCUGCAUCUGACAGUCUGCAACUCGCAGAAUGUUGAUUUCUUCUUUGAAAAUUUAGAUGGUUUUGUUGGCGCAAUCAACUUCUAUACAAAAGAGAAGUAUGUAAAUGAUUCCUCCUCGCUGACCGUUCGCCUAAUGAGGAACAAUCAGAGCUGCACUCCCGAUUUCUCAUUUGGUUGCCAAAAUAGCAGCUGUGGGUAUGUGAGCACUUUGAUACGCAAGGUCGACCAAGAAGACAGCGGAGAGUGGUGUCAGAAUGAACUUAGGACUGUUCUGCCAUCUCCCAUUAAUGCGGUUCGUUCACUCGGCAUCUCUGGUGUUAAUUGGGUUAGUGGCAUCAAAAACAACAUUGGAUCAUGGGUAACUGUAGUAGCAUUCGACCUGAGGAACCGCUCUGACACCAACAAAGAAAACUCCUCACCCCAGUCUACCGUGAUCCCAUUUGUGAGAGUUCCUUCAAACUGUCGGAGAGAUUUCAGCCCAUUGAUGUUUGACCCUGAUGGUGAUCAGGUUAAAUGCAGAUACCGCUCACUCUUGGAGUGUAACGCCUGUGAGCCACCAUCUGUCCUCAUCCUCUCAUCAUCCAAUUGUACUCUGUCGUUCAGUCCCACUGCCGACAGUAAUCAGGGCCGUUAUGGAGUACAGCUGCUGAUGGAGGACUUUCCCAUGAAGAACAUCAACAUGACUGGAGUAAAUGGAACAAAAACAAUAAAAACACCUAACGAUGCUCUCAGCUCAGUGCCGAUCCAGUUUGUUCUGAUAGUGGAUCCCCAGGUCUCAUCCUGCACAGAGGGAGACUUUUUGCCCAAAUUCUUGCCUCCAACCCCAGCCAACAGAGCUCGGCUCUACACCCCUGUUAAUAAGACUCUGGAAAUCAGCAUCAGUGCUGAGGCAAAAAACUCCACGAUCUCUGAGCUGCUGUUCAGCGGACCGUAUGAUGCAGUUCAGAAUAAAACUGGAACAGGAACGUUCACCCUGAGAUGGACGCCGUCUGAAUCACAAGACAAUGACACCCUCCCCUUCUGCUUUGUUGUCCAGGCACUUUCCAAGGAAACCAAGUUUCACUCAGACCUUCGAUGUGUCAGCGUGACUGUUGGAAAUGCUCCUGUUAAUAGUGCCCCAGCCAGUGCUUCAGCUUUUGUCCUGGUCAUGGGAUCUUUCCUUUCAACUCUUAUUCUUGCCUUCCCUUCCAUAUGAAUAUGGAUAAAAUCAGAGAUUGAAGAUGUACCUGACUCUGGAUUGAUGCAACGGUAGCGCCCUCUACUGUUACAACAUGAAUGUCAUCUGACUCUGCACAAACAACUUUUUUCAAGUUUCUUUAAGUUUUGUUCCAACCAAUGUAAUCAAAUUAAAUAAUUACAGAAAAAAAUAUAAUGUUUAAUGCAAUGUUUAAUAUCUAAAUUCAUUUGAUUCUGUCAUUCUUUUCACGGAUUUUAUCUUUAUCUUGUACUUUUACUUAGUGUUUUAGAACUGUCUUUAUUUUCAUUUCUCUGUGGUUUUAUGGGCUUUACAAUCUUUUUUGUGUUUACAUUUGGAGUACUACUGUACUCAACAUAAAUAAACAUAAUCAUCACCCAGUAAAUCAUCAUCAUAGUAAAAUUGAGAUUAUUUUUAAUACAACUGGUUUUGUGAGAGCUUUAUGAGGAAUUGCACAAUUACAAAUCUGGAAAUUUUGUGAAACUAAUAAAAAUAAGAAGACUUGAGCCACUGACACUGUUUGAUAUUUAUCUAGGAACAAGAGACAUCAAAAUAUUUUUAAGCUGUUAAUGAAGCUUAACAUAACAUCCAUAAUGGACUCAUGGAAUGUAUUUAUUUGCAGAGUCCUGUGCAAGUACGACUGAUGUUUGAAGUGUCAUUGUUGCAAGCGCUGAUUGGAGUCUUUACUCAUUUGUCCUCAUUUGUUUCAGAUGAUUUACUGAAGUGAUCUAAAUUUUAUUUCUGAUAGUUUAGCUUGAUUUAUUUUGCCAAGUUAUUAAUCACAUCAUCUCUAACAACACCUCCUAUUUGUCCACAAACUACUACACUUGAACCGACACCCACUCGUCAGCCAAACACUUCCCAGGCAAUACUCCAGUUUAUGAGUAUGAAUUACAGACAGUAGCUGUUACCAAACACUAAAGCUUCAUAGACAUGUCGCAUCAAGAGCAAAAACUGAACUUCCAUGCUUUAAUGACCAUUAAAAUCUUAACAGCAAAUUUUUGUAUCAGUUUUACUUGAUAGAAAUUCUCAUCAUUCUAUGAUGGCAAACAUAGAGACACUGACCUGGAUUUGAUUUGUGUGAUGAUGUUAAUGAUCCUGUUAUCAAUUGAAUUGUUGGGGUGGGAGGGGAGAUUGAAACAAAUGAAUGGAUGUAACAGUUCCAUGGAUGCCAACUUCCACCCGGCCUUGUAUAAAAGAUAUGCGAAAAAGCAAUCAGACAACCAUUAAUAUAAUGACUUUCUUUUUAACUGAGUACAUAUGUACUGACUGAGGCGAGUGCUUUUUGGCGUAGAUGAACCCCAAGAAGAUUUUGAAAUUUUGGUGAGAUACAGAUUUUGUGUUGCAACUCACACCAGUUGGGUACUGUAGGAUGUAACGGCGAAUUAAUCAUGUGAAAUAGUUAAAGAUAUUAAAAAAAAUUGCUACUUGC